GUAGGUGAACCUGCGGAAGGAUCAUUAACACGUAUCCAACGUUAAACCCCCCUGUGAACUUUCAGCCUGCUCUUGUGGCUUGUAGGGUUAAGCAGCAAUCUCGGUAAAUCAAGUAUUCGAGACCUCUGUACCCUCUGGGUUAUGAUUGAAGCGGUAGAAGCAGUGGCAUGGUGUCCCAAGCCUCCAGUGAAUGACAGCGUCACUGGAACAAGGGAGGGAUAACGCUUGUUCGGUUGCCAGAGUCGCUCACCGACCGGCAGACAUGUCACAGGGCCUUGCGCCCCUAACCACCCCUUUGCCAAUGCACUAGCCCGGGGCGAAAGUCCGAGGCAUUAAAACCGAACAGCUGUUAACAAUGGAUCUUGGUUCUC
rnacentral:misc_RNA from 1 species